GUUUAUAAAGUUUUAAAAACAUUUCAUUUUCAUUGAAAAGAGAGAAAUUUUUCUUGUAAAUA
rnacentral:tRNA from 1 species